UUCUUUUUUUAUUUGCAAGUGAGGGUGUGAGGUGGCGUUCAAAGGUUGUCAAGGGGUUGUGAGGAGCUAUAGGGCUCAAGUUCGAGGUUGAAGAUUAGAAACCGAAGGUUGAAGAUCAGAUUUGGGAUUAGAUGAGUCGCUGGUACAACUGACGUCGUCGUGGUGUAGGUCAGAUGAGUCGCUGGAGUCCAGGCCAAGUAACAGUGUCGCUGGAGUUUCGGGAAGCUAACGAUGUCAUCAAUUCGAGUGCAGGUGAUGUGCCGAUUAUUGAUUUUGGAUCAAUUACUAACUGUUUGCCAUUUUCUUUCUAGAAAAUCAAUGUAGUGUCUGCUUCUUAAUCUUGUUCUCUAUGAGUACCAUUGUUACCGUCUCUGGUAAAAACAUCUAACCAUAUGCCAGAUUCGUUGAUUCAGGCUACAAAAGUACCUGUUAAAGAGUAUGAGUUUGAUGAAAAGAAGAUGGCAAAUGUGCAGUCUCAUCUGGAAAAAUUGGUUGCCAAUAACUAUUACUUGAACAGGUCUCCAAAAGAUGCGUACAGAUAAAUAUAUUAUUCAUGAAGUGAAGGCAAGAAUAGUUGAAUGGUAUAUGAUUAUGAACAGGGGCAAAUGCGUAAAACAAAUUAUGAUUCUUUUUAUUAUGGAUGGUGCACAGGACAAGGGCAGGCUGGUCAAGACUGGAAGCUUUACACAUUCAUAUCCAUUUUGUUGAAGAUCUGAUACCCCUCUUAUCUACAGAGCAGUUCCCAUGAUGAGCAGUUGCUUGAAGCAGCUUGGUGUCUUACAAACAUAGCUGCUGGAAAACCUAAAGAAACAAGAGCUUAAUUGCCUGCAUUACCUUUACUCAUUGCUCAAAUUGGAGAGUUCAGUGCCUGUUGCAGAGCAGUGUGCAUAAGCAUUAGGAAAUGUUGCAGGAGAAGGUGAAGAACCGAGACAAAUUCUGAUUUCUCAAGGGGCAUUACUUCCUCUUGCAAAAAUGAUGUUGCCAAAUAAAGUUUCAGUUAACGGGUGAACCAAGUUUCUCUGAAAUGGCGACAGCAUUGUCAGGGCCUCCUUAUAUCUUUGUUUCUACUCCAGCUUGUGUCCAAAGAUGUCUUUCAUCAGGUGUUCUUCAAGCAAAAUCCGUUCAUGAUUAUCUUUCAAUUAUUAUUCUUGAUAAGGUAUGGAUUCUUUUCUUUCUGUAACAUUUAUAAUACUCUUUAUUAAAGUACUGAUUCAUGUUAGUAAAUCAGGCAGAUCUUCUUUUUACAUAUGGAUAUGAAAAGAAUCUCAAAGAUCUCAAAACUCACAUUCCUAAAAGAUGUCAAUGCCUUCUCAUGGCUGCUACCUCAAGCUUGAAGAAGCUUUAUCUACACAAUCCCUAUAUUCUUACUUUAGCAGAAGUUGGUGAUGGAAAGGACGAAAUUGUCCCCAAAAAUGUUCAGCAAUUUUGGUUUGGUAUAAAAUCUGCUGUGUUAAAUGCUGAAUUGCCUGUGAAUUGACGUCUACAUAUUCUUGAGGGUUUUGGUUCUUAAAUGAAUAAAGAAAACAAAUUUCUUGGGCGGGAAAGAAGCAGACAUACUUGCUGGUAAGAUGAGUAUGGUACAGUUGCAAGGGCGGGACCAGUUGCUGACAGCACAAAAUGAAAUGCUCAAGGUACUCUACUCUACUGCUUCAUCAUAUAUGUCUGCAAGUUUGGUUGGCAGUUUCCCUUAUUACAGAUGCGUUGGCUGCAUCUGGUCAGGCGUUGAUUGCUAGUUCGGUUUCAAAAGGGAAUUAUAGAUCUGUGAAGGAUAUCACAUACUUCGUGUUGACUAUUGGUUUUGUGAUGGGUGUUACUUUGGCUGCAAUAUUGGGAGUUUCAUUUGGUUCCAUAGUCACACUGUUCACUAAGGACAUUGGAGUAUUGGCGAUUGCUAGAACCGGGGUUUUGUUUGUGAGUGCUAGUCAGCCUUUGAAUGCUUUUGCUUUUAUUGUUGAUGGUUUGCAUUAUGGAGUUUCAGACUUCCCGUAUGCUGCUUAUUCCAUGGUAUGCUUUUUUUUAGACAUGAAUAUAAAAUUACAUAUUUGCCCUUGGAUUAAUAUGUUUUCACUGUAGAUGCUUGUUGGGAUUUUAUCGUCUGUAAUUGCAACUUGUUAUGAGAUGGCCAAAACCAUUGCAUUUUGCAAUAGUUGAUGAACUUGAUUAUGUCCUAAUUGAUGAGGGAAGAAACCCAUUGCUGAUAAGGGGUGAGGCUAGCAAGGAUGCUGCACGUAACACAGUUGCUGCUAAAGUAGCUGAGCUUCUCAUGCGUGGCCUCGUAUUUUACUUUUUUGCCCUUCUUUUUCCUUUUUGAUGUCUUGUUAUCCAUCUCCAUUGUAUGCGUAUCUCAUUGUUUGUUCCACUACACAUCAUGUAAA